rnacentral:rRNA from 1 species
GACAGGUGGUGCAUGGUUGUCGUCAGCUCGUGUCGUGAGAUGUUGGGUUAAGUCCCGCAACGAGCGCAACCCUUGUCUUUAGUUGCCAUCAUUAAGUUGGGCACUCUAGAGAGACUGCCAGGGAUAACCUGGAGGAAGGUGGGGAUGACGUCAAAUCAUCAUGCCCCUUAUGCUUAGGGCUACACACGUGCUACAAUGGGUAGUACAGAGGGUUGCCAAGCCGUAAGGUGGAGCUAAUCCCUUAAAGCUACUCUCAGUUCGGAUUGUAGGCUGAAACUCGCCUACAUGAAGCUGGAGUUACUAGUAAUCGCAGAUCAGAAUGCUGCGGUGAAUGCGUUCCCGGGUCUUGUACACACCGCCCGUCACACCACGGGAGUUGGAGACGCCCGAAGCCGAUUAUCUAACCUUUUGGAAGAAGUCGUCGAAGGUGGAAUCAAUAACUGGGGUGAAGUCGUAACAAGGUAGCCGUAUCGGAAGGUGCGGCUGGAUCACCUCCUUU